ACAUUAACAAUAGUCAAUUUCACACAAAAGUUAAAACAUAUUGGAUGGAUACAUAUUAAAAACAGUACAUAUAAUGCAUACUACAUAGAUGAAAAUGAAUCAGCCACACUUUUGAAUAAAAUCGUCUAAAGUAUAAAAUGCUCCUUGGAUUAAGAACUUUUUCAGUGUAUGUUUAAAAGUUUUUAUUUUUGUUUCCGAUUUCAUGCUUUCAGGCAAUAAGUUGAAUAAAUAUGCCCCUGCAUACAGAGGUGAUUUUUUGUGAUGUGAUCUGAGUAUGGGAUACUCUGGAUGUUUCUGUGGACCUUCCCCAUACUAUGAUGUUGCAGCUGAUGGUGCUAUAUACCAGUGCAUAAUAUAAAUUAAUCAAGUAAGGUCUAUGAAAAUUUGACUUGAGUGUAUAGAAAGCAUAAUAUAGUUUAUUUAGUUUUUUGCAAAUAGAAUCUAUUUGGUUGUUAAA